GGCUCACCAAGGAGACGAUCUGUAGCGGGUCUGAGAGGAUGAUCCGCCACACUGGGACUGAGACACGGCCCAGACUCCUACGGGAGGCAGCAGUGGGGAAUAUUGGACAAUGGGGGGAACCCUGAUCCAGCCAUGCCGCGUGUGUGAAGAAGGCCUUAUGGUUGUAAAGCACUUUAAGCGAGGAGGAGGGUACCCUGAUUAAUACUCAGGAGUAUUGGACGUUACUCGCAGAAUAAGCACCGGCUAACUCUGUGCCAGCAGCCGCGGUAAUACAGAGGGUGCGAGCGUUAGUCGGAAUUACUGGGCGUAAAGCGCGCGUAGGCGGCUAAUUAAGUCGGAUGUGAAAUCCCCGAGCUCAACUUGGGAAUUGCAUACGAUACUGGUUAGCUAGAGUAUGGGAGAGGAAGAUAGAAUUCCAGGUGUAGCGGUGAAAUGCGUAGAGAUCUGGAGGAAUACCGAUGGCGAAGGCAGCCUUCUGGCCUAAUACUGACGCUGAGGUGCGAAAGCAUGGGGAGCAAACAGGAUUAGAUACCCUGGUAGUCCAUGCCGUAAACGAUGUCUACUAGCCGUUGGGGUCUUUGAGAUUUUAGUGGCGCAGCUAACGCGAUAAGUAGACCGCCUGGGGAGUACGGUCGCAAGACUAAAACUCAAAUGAAUUGACGGGGGCCCGCACAAGCGGUGGAGCAUGUGGUUUAAUUCGAUGCAACGCGAAGAACCUUACCUGGUCUUGACAUACUAAGAACAUUCAGAGANGAA
rnacentral:rRNA from 1 species